CGUCCCACCAGUCCUCCGGAGCAGCGAGCUGCGUCUCCUUUCAGACACAUGUUCUGCUCAAGAGGCGAGAGAAGUUCCCCUCCGGCGCGUGAAGCACUUCACUUCAGAAGGUUCUCUUCUUUUUCAUCAUGAUUCUGAUAUAAAAGCGCCGUUCUGACUCCAGAGAGCAGAGUGAAGUCUCCGUGUCUCCAGGAUCUCUGCUCCAUCUGACUGGUCCACAGGAAGAAAUAAAUCUCUUUUUCACUGACGGCUUUGGGGUCCUGUCACACUGGCUGAAGCUCCGCCUCCCUGAAGGCAGUGACUGAAGAUGUCUGGUGUGGAUGAAGAGGAGGACAGAUCAGGUGUGGACAGACACACAGCAGAGUCUUCGGGUUCUCUGAAGAGUGACUGGUCCAAAGGUCGUCUACCAGACUUCAGUGAUGAACCUGGACCUUCAGACACAAAAAAGAGGAGGACUGAUGUCUGUGAGGAGCAGCCAGAAAGAUCCAGAAGU